UCCGCCUUCAUGGAGUCGGGUUGCAGACUCCAAUCCGAACUGAGACCGGUUUUCAGGGAUCCGCUCCAUGUCGCCAUGUCGCAUCCCGCUGUACCGGCCAUUGUAGCAUGCGUGAAGCCCUGGACGUAAGGGGCAUGAUGAUCUGACGUCAUCCCCACCUUCCUCCG
rnacentral:rRNA from 1 species